CAGGGAUUGCCCCAGUAACGGCGAGUGAAGCGGCAACAGCUCAAAUUUGAAAUCUGGCCCCAGGCCCGAGUUGUAAUUUGCAGAGGAUGCUUUUGGCGCGGUGCCUUCCGAGUUCCCUGGAACGGGACGCCAUAGAGGGUGAGAGCCCCGUACGGUUGGACACCAAGCCUUUGUAAAGCUCCUUCGACGAGUCGAGUAGUUUGGGAAUGCUGCUCUAAAUGGGAGGUACAUUUCUUCUAAAGCUAAAUAUUGGCCAGAGACCGAUAGCGCACAAGUAGAGUGAUCGAAAGAUGAAAAGCACUUUGAAAAGAGGGUUAAACAGCACGUGAAAUUGUUAAAAGGGAAGCGCUUGUGACCAGACUUGCGUCCGGUGAAUCACCCAGCUCUCACGGCUGGGGCACUUCGCCGGCACAGGCCAGCAUCAGCUUGCCGUCGGGGACAAAAGCUUCAGGAACGUGGCUCCUCUCGGGGAGUGUUAUAGCCUGUUGCACAAUACCCUUCGGCGGGCUGAGGUACGCGCUCCGCAAGGAUGCUGGCGUAA
rnacentral:rRNA from 1 species